GCUUGCACUGAAGCGGUAGGGAGGAGGGGGGAAGUUCUGAGACGCAAAAGCUUCACAUACUCCCUUGCUGUUGACUUGGGUGCUUCUGAAAGAGAAUGUACAUCAUAAACUCCCCUGAAAAACACAGCACGGCGAAAGCAUCCUGUGCGUCUCCGGGCCUGGGACCCGCGGGCCUUUCCGGGCCAGGACGAGGCCGGGCGUCGAGGGCCGCUCGCUCACCUGUGCGCGCGGGAGGAGGCGAGCGCGCAGUCAUCACUUCUGUCACUGUGUCCGUUGAGACUACAAAGGUAACCAGAAGGAGGUCUUAUCCGUUCUGUUAGCUUCAGUUGGGAGCAGCAGGUAGAAGCCGCGCUUUGGUUUUACUUUUUCACCACGGGAAGCUAUAAAUAGCGGGGCGCGUGUGGCUUUCUGGCUGAGUUACCUACACUCGCCGGCACCUCAAGAUCCAGGCGCUGCGACUCCCACAUGAGCAUCGCAGGCCGCCGCCCCCGCGGACAUUUUCCACAACAUGCGUGUGACACGGACAGGUGCUGCUCCCCGUGAGGUGUGUGUUGUUUUUGUUUCAACUUUUGAGGUGGAGAUGCGCGCCGCCCACACUGCCAGCUCUGGACGCAAGGCCUCCCGAAUGCCUUGAAGAGAUGCAGAGCAAUGUGGUAGAUUUGUCUAAAAUUGUAAGAUAUCGUCAAAAUAAUGCAUCCGUCUCAACUGUGCAGAAAUUCUGAAGGCUGCUUCACGAGGAGGGACUCCAAGUUUUCAAGAAAAAAAGGAUUUUCUUAUGAAGAUGGAAAUGAUAGAAGAAAGUGGACAAAUCAAACAGAAUUCUUUUAACAGGCACUCAUCGGACUAGAGAAGGGUCUGCAGGGACCAGUUGUAGUAAGCCAGCCACAGAAUUUUGACCUCCUUGUCCAGAGAAGAAUGACUGGAACAUGGACGGCCAAGUAACAAUGAUAAAUCAAGUGCCAGAUGUUUGGUGGAUGGGACAUCAAGAGCACGCUAAGUGCCUGCCGAAGCCGGCUCUAGAAACAAUCUAACUCCAAGUGAAGGAGAGCUUGCAGUGGAGCCAGGCACAGAGCAAGAGGAGGCAUGUGAACACUGCCACUGAGCAAUUUCCCCAACCCUGAUAACCAAGCUCAUGGCUCCACUAGACGGCAGGCUGAAGACCCCUCAAGGGAUGUUGCCCAGGUUACAAUUCUUGUAAAUGCUAAAUAAAUGACGACUGACGUGUAUGUCGAGCUCUAUCACCAAAACAAAAUUGUUUGCACGCGUGUUUGCCAAGUGUGGCCUGUUCCUACACUUUUUUGCCUAUUCAAAUGUUGAUUGCAUGUUCUGCAAUGGGUUUUCUUGUGUAUGAUUUAUUUAACCUUUGCAAUGAAAAGAAACUAUAACUCAAGAGAAGACAAAAAUGAUGCCUGCCAGGAUUACUCUCCUUAAACUGGUUUACUUCUUUUUAAGUCACAAAAGCACAAAGGACCCAGAGUCUCUCAUAAUGAACAUAAUAUAUGAUUGCCAUAAAAAGUUCACUCUCCUUUCAAUUUCAAUUUACCUCACUAUAAAUCAGUGAUCCACUUAAUCAAAUAUUCUUCCAGUUUAAUUGUUUUAUCUUGCUUUUAUGUUAAAUCUCACUGAGUUACUGCUGGCAGCAGUCUUCACAUUAUAGAAAAAAUGUCAGUGGUUGGCCCAUAAUUAGUCUAAAACUCAAACAUUGGUUCAGAACAUUAACCAGAUUGGGGGGAACCCUCACAAUCUUACUGGACCAGUGAGACAAAUCCAAGUUGGGAAGUAAACCAGGAUUAGUUGAGCUGGCCAUCCAUCUGCUGUCAAACUAGAGUGAGGGCCCUGGCUUUCAAACUAACUAGAAUUUUCUUUUUUUUUUUUUUUUCUUCAUAAAUGUCUUUCAUUAUUAUCUUACAGGGCAUUUAAAACUGUUUUUGCUUGUCUCUUAAAUUCUCCAGGCUGAAACUGUCCGUUUAAGCAUUGCAGAUGCUUGCCUGAACUAGCCCGACGGUUCCCAUGAGAAAAUAUGUCAGCACAGCGCUCAGUGGAAGGACAGAACGAAACUUCGGGGGCUGUGAUGAAGGGCACUUCCUGGGUAUUGUAAACGACGAGACACUGUCCCUGGUGGGUAAGCCGGUUCUGUAAACAAGAAAGAAAGAGAAAUGAAUCCCAUGUUAUCGAUUGAUAAACACCUUUCUGACAAGCUCUGUGGGACAGUGUGAUGGAAUAGGUGCUCUGAACACUGUCCCUGGAGCAGGGUCCCCAGACGUCUCUCACCUGAAGAGAACCCUUCACCAUCAAACGAAUACCUCAUAUACAUUUUUUAAUUAAACUUAUAAAAAUUUAUUAAAUAAAUUGAGAAUAAGGAUAUAGCCGAACCAGUCUAUCUGCUUUUUCCAGUAAAUGUAAA